rnacentral:piRNA from 1 species
UCCAGAUAUUGUCUUGCUCCAGAAGUCCC